rnacentral:rRNA from 1 species
CCGGAGGAAGAGAAAGAAAAUUCGAUUCCCUUAGUAGCGGCGAGCGAAACGGGAAGAGCCCAAACCAACAAGCUUGCUUGUUGGGGUUGUAGGACACUCUAUACGGAGUUACAAAGGACGACAUUAGACGAAUCAUCUGGAAAGAUGAAUCAAAGAAGGUAAUAAUCCUGUAGUCGAAAAUGUUGUCUCUCUUGAGUGGAUCCUGAGUACGACGGAGCACGUGAAAUUCCGUCGGAAUCUGGGAGGACCAUCUCCUAAGGCUAAAUACUCUCUAGUGACCGAUAGUGAACCAGUACCGUGAGGGAAAGGUGAAAAGCACCCCGGAAGGGGAGUGAAAUAGAACCUGAAACCGUGUGCUUACAAGUAGUCAGAGCCCGUUAAUGGGUGAUGGCGUGCCUUUUGUAGAAUGAACCGGCGAGUUACGAUUUGAUGCAAGGUUAAGCAGUAAAUGUGGAGCCGUAGCGAAAGCGAGUCUGAAUAGGGCGUUUAGUAUUUGGUCGUAGACCCGAAACCAGGUGAUCUACCCUUGGUCAGGUUGAAGUUCAGGUAACACUGAAUGGAGGACCGAACCGACUUACGUUGAAAAGUGAGCGGAUGAACUGAGGGUAGCGGAGAAAUUCCAAUCGAACCUGGAGAUAGCUGGUUCUCUCCGAAAUAGCUUUAGGGCUAGCCUCAAGUGAUGAUUAUUGGAGGUAGAGCACUGUUUGGACGAGGGGCCCCUCUCGGGUUACCGAAUUCAGACAAACUCCGAAUGCCAAUUAAUUUAACUUGGGAGUCAGAACAUGGGUGAUAAGGUCCGUGUUCGAAAGGGAAACAGCCCAGACCACCAGCUAAGGUCCCAAAAUAUAUGUUAAGUGGAAAAGGAUGUGGCGUUGCCCAGACAACUAGGAUGUUGGCUUAGAAGCAGCCAUCAUUUAAAGAGUGCGUAAUAGCUCACUAGUCGAGUGACACUGCGCCGAAAAUGUACCGGGGCUAAACAUAUUACCGAAGCUGUGGAUUGUCCUUUGGACAAUGGUAGGAGAGCGUUCUAAGGGCGUUGAAGCAUGAUCGUAAGGACAUGUGGAGCGCUUAGAAGUGAGAAUGCCGGUGUGAGUAGCGAAAGACGGGUGAGAAUCCCGUCCACCGAUUGACUAAGGUUUCCAGAGGAAGGCUCGUCCGCUCUGGGUUAGUCGGGUCCUAAGCUGAGGCCGACAGGCGUAGGCGAUGGAUAACAGGUUGAUAUUCCUGUACCACCUAUAAUCGUUUUAAUCGAUGGGGGGACGCAGUAGGAUAGGCGAAGCGUGCGAUUGGAUUGCACGUCUAAGCAGUAAGGCUGAGUAUUAGGCAAAUCCGGUACUCGUUAAGGCUGAGCUGUGAUGGGGAGAAGACAUUGUGUCUUCGAGUCGUUGAUUUCACACUGCCGAGAAAAGCCUCUAGAUAGAAAAUAGGUGCCCGUACCGCAAACCGACACAGGUAGUCAAGAUGAGAAUUCUAAGGUGAGCGAGCGAACUCUCGUUAAGGAACUCGGCAAAAUGACCCCGUAACUUCGGGAGAAGGGGUGCUCUUUAGGGUUAACGCCCAGAAGAGCCGCAGUGAAUAGGCCCAAGCGACUGUUUAUCAAAAACACAGGUCUCUGCUAAACCGUAAGGUGAUGUAUAGGGGCUGACGCCUGCCCGGUGCUGGAAGGUUAAGAGGAGUGGUUAGCUUCUGCGAAGCUACGAAUCGAAGCCCCAGUAAACGGCGGCCGUAACUAUAACGGUCCUAAGGUAGCGAAAUUCCUUGUCGGGUAAGUUCCGACCCGCACGAAAGGCGUAACGAUUUGGGCACUGUCUCAACGAGAGACUCGGUGAAAUCAUAGUACCUGUGAAGAUGCAGGUUACCCGCGACAGGACGGAAAGACCCCGUGGAGCUUUACUGUAGCCUGAUAUUGAAAUUCGGCACAGCUUGUACAGGAUAGGUAGGAGCCUUUGAAACGUGAGCGCUAGCUUACGUGGAGGCGCUGGUGGGAUACUACCCUAGCUGUGUUGGCUUUCUAACCCGCACCACUUAUCGUGGUGGGAGACAGUGUCAGGCGGGCAGUUUGACUGGGGCGGUCGCCUCCUAAAAGG